AUACUUACCUGGACGGGUCUAUGGUUGAUCAAGAAUGAUCAUGGCCUAGGCUAGUGACUCCCAUUGCACUUUGGGUGGGCGCUCGCCUAAGAUCUCGUUAGUGAGAGUCUACGUCAUAAUUUGUUUCCGAGGGGUAGGCGUACGCGACGGCCCUGC